UACGUAGGGUGCUAGCGUUGUUCGGAAUCAUUGGGCGUAAGGCGCGUGUAGGCGGUCAGGCAAGUCAGAUGUGAAAUCCCUGGGCUCAACCGAGGAAGUGCAUCCGAAACUGCUUGGCUAGAAGACGGUAGAGGAAGGUGGAAUUCCUAGUGUAGAGGUGAAAUUCGUAGAUAUUAGGAGGAAUACCGGUGGCGAAGGCGGCCUUCUGGGCCGAUCUUGACGCUGAGACGCGAAAGCGUGGGGAGCAAACAGG
rnacentral:rRNA from 1 species